AUUGAACGCUGGCGGCAGGCUUAACACAUGCAAGUCGAGCGGAGAUGAGGUGCUUGCACCUUAUCUUAGCGGCGGACGGGUGAGUAAUGCUUAGGAAUCUGCCUAUUAGUGGGGGACAACAUUCCGAAAGGAAUGCUAAUACCGCAUACGCCCUACGGGGGAAAGCAGGGGAUCUUUGGACCUUGCGCUAAUAGAUGAGCCUAAGUCGGAUUAGCUAGUUGGUGGGGUAAAGGCCGACCAAGGCGACGAUCUGUAGCGGGUCUGAGAGGAUGAUCCGCCACACUGGGGCUGAGACACGGCCCAGCCUCCUACGGGAGGCAGCGGUGGGGAAUAUUGGACAAUGGGCGGAAGCCUGAUCCAGCCAUGCCGCGUGUGUGAAGAAGGCCUUUUGGUUGUAAAGCACUUUAAGCGAGGAGGAGGCUACCUGGAUUAAUACUCUAGGAUAGUGGACGUUACUCGCAGAAUAAGCACCGGCUAACUCUGUGCCAGCCGCCGCAGUAAGAC
rnacentral:rRNA from 1 species